rnacentral:tRNA from 1 species
GGGGUUGUGGCUCAGUGGUAGACCACUCACCUAGCAUGUGCCAGGCCCUGGGUUCAAUCCUCAGCACUACA